rnacentral:rRNA from 1 species
ACCGGCAGCUCAAGUGGUGGCCAUUUUUAUUGGCCCAAAGCGGUUGUUGGCGGGUUGGUAAAGCCUUGGGGAAAUUCCGGAGGCUUAAUUGGGGGCCUUGUGGGAGAUACUAUUAGACUUGAGGCCGGGAGAGGUUAGGGGUACUCCCAGGGUAGGGGUGAAAUCCUAUAAUCCUGGGAGGACCACCUGUGGCGAAGGCGCCUAACUGGAACGAACCUGACGGUGAGUAACGAAAGCCAGGGGCGCGAACCG